ensembl:lncRNA artifact
AAUGGAUUGUGUAUGGGCGUGAGAGUAAAACUUUACAAGGUCGAGAGUCAUACAAAAGCCAAAGCCGCAUUAAAGCCAGUCCCAGCCAGGCUUAAGGAGAGCUGGAAUGGAGAGGAUUCUCAUCUAACAUCUGGGUUGCAGUUGUAUGUUAACAUGGACUUCCUAGGAAGUAACAUAUCAAACAAAAGGGAAAGUGAUCAACCAGCAGCAGGUACCAGCCACAGUUAACUGCACCUGCUAGGAGCUCUGAAAGACUUUUUUUUUUUUUAAACGAAUAAAGAAAUUCUCAUUUCACUCUCCUCCACACUGGACUCGCUGAAGAAAGAGUAGCUGGCUGGAGGAAGCUAUCCAGAGGGAAGCAGCACAGCAUCUAUGCACAGACAUAGCAAAUAAGAGCAAGUGAACCACGCCACACUUACGACUAUGUCAACAAAGGAAUAGAAGCAAAGGAAAAGACUGACAUAGCUUAGACUGGGAAUCCUUCUAGAAAGUAAGAAAGAAUUCAGAGAGAUUCCUCUCUCUAGUCUUGAAGAAAUGAAGGUCUUCAAAAUGAAGAUUGAAGAAAUAUAGAAUAUCUAAAAAAAAAGAAAGA